CACCAACAGACAGACAGAGACCUGGAGGAUAAACAACACCAACCUGACCUGGGCGGUAUGGAGAGAGGUCCUAGCAGCAGCCAGGUGUGGAACCCCUCCUCUGUUAUCUGUAUGGACAGAGCAGAGCCCCCCCUGCUGACCUGGUGGUCCACCUGCAGGUCUGGGAUGGGGAGAGGAGGAAAACAUCAGUCCACUGGAGAGGAGUGGCCACCAUACAGGACCCUCGGCUGUUUCAAGGUCGAUGCCUGACUUACUGGCUACAGGCGUGUGACUGACAGCUCGAGUGUCGGCGGCAUGCUCUCGCGCUGUCCUGCUGUCAGUCACUCUGGAGAUGGGUUCUGCGCCAAGGCGACCGGAGCAGCAA